rnacentral:rRNA from 1 species
AGCGGCGGACGGGUGAGUAACGCGUGGAUAACCUGCCUUACACAGGGGGAUAACAGUUAGAAAUGACUGCUAAUACCGCAUAACCCGCUAGGGCCGCAUGGCCCGGACGGAAAAGAUUUAUCGGUGUAAGAUGGAUCCGCGUCUGAUUAGCUAGUUGGCGGGGUAAAGGCCCACCAAGGCGACGAUCAGUAGCCGACCUGAGAGGGUGAUCGGCCACAUUGGGACUGAGACACGGCCCAAACUCCUACGGGAGGCAGCAG